GUGCUCACUUCAGCAGCACAUAUACUAAAAGUGGAAAGAUACAGAGAUUAGCAUGGUCCCUAGGCAAGGAUGACACGCAAAUUUGUGAAGCACUCCGUAUUUUU